rnacentral:rRNA from 1 species
CCUACGGGAGGCAGCAGUGAGGAAUAUUGGUCAAUGGGCGUAAGCCUGAACCAGCCAAGCCGCGUGAGGGAUGAAGGUUCUCUGGAUCGUAAACCUCUUUUAUAAGGGAAUAAAGUGUGGGACGUGUCCUAUUUUGUAUGUACCUUAUGAAUAAGGAUCGGCUAACGCCGUGCCAGCAGCAGCGGUAAUACGGAGGAUCCGAGCGUUAACCGGAUUUAUUGGGUUUAAAGGGUGCGUAGGCGGCCUUUUAAGUCAGCGGUGAAAGUCUGUGGCUCAACUUUAGAAUUGCGGUUGAAACUGGGGGGCUAGAGUAUGUUUGAGGCAGGCGGAAUUCGUGGUGUAGCGGUGAAAUGCGGAGAUAUCACGCAGAACCCCGAUGGCGAAGGCAGCCUG